rnacentral:tRNA from 1 species
UCCCUGGUAGCUCAGUUGGUAAAGAAUCCACCUGCAAUGUGGGAGAUCCCGGUUCGAUUCCUGGGUGGGGAA